rnacentral:tRNA from 1 species
AAAGGGAGACCUAAUUCAGGUAGGAGACGAAAAAAAAGUAGUCGCUACCAAGAAUCAAUCCCAAAAGGUCGGAGCGAGGCGAAAUUGGCUUUCAAACUAGGUUCUGGGUUCAAACAAGACCUGAAUCAGGAACAAGGGCUAUUAGCUCAGGUGGUUAGAGCGCACCCCUGAUAAGGGUGAGGUCCCUGGUUCGAGUCCAGGAUGGCUCACCUGCACAGGUGGCAAAAACAAGAGAAGCGAGGAAUCAGCACCUUAUCUUACUUAUAUAGUAAGAGAGAAUGCUGGCUCUGAGUAAAGAGUCCAGAGGAACCUUGAAAACUGCAUAGAGCUAGGUGAAAAAGCCAAAAAAGAAGACCGCAAG